CAUUUUAUGAGUUUUUGAGAAUACGAUGAGAAACUCGUCAAACAGUUGGCUAAAAUUGAAUUUACUCUUGGUAUACUGACUCUUGCAUGCAAAAAUAUAACCCAAAUGCAAAAGCCACGAGCCCAAGGACAUG
rnacentral:snoRNA from 1 species